rnacentral:rRNA from 1 species
GACGAACGCUGGCGGCGUGCUUAACACAUGCAAGUCGAACGGAAAGGCCCUGCUUUUGUGGGGUGCUCGAGUGGCGAACGGGUGAGUAACACGUGAGUAACCUGCCCUUGACUUUGGGAUAACUUCAGGAAACUGGGGCUAAUACCGGAUAGGAGCUCCUGCUGCAUGUUGGGGGUUGGAAAGUUUCGGCGGUUGGGGAUGGACUCGCGGCUUAUCAGCUUGUUGGUGGGGUAGUGGCUUACCAAGGCUUUGACGGGUAGCCGGCCUGAGAGGGUGACCGGCCACAUUGGGACUGAGAUACGGCCCAGACUCCUACGGGAGGCAGCAGCGGGGAAUAUUGCACAAUGGGCGGAAGCCUGAUGCAGCAACGCCGCGUGCGGGAUGACGGCCUUCGGGUUGUAAACCGCUUUCGCCUGUGACGAAGCGUGAGUGACGGUAAUGGGUAAAGAAGCACCGGCUAACUACGUG